GCAAACUUGGUCAUUUAGAGGAAGUAAAAGUCGUAACAAGGUUUUCGUAGGUGAACCUGCGGAAGGAUCAUUACUGAAGUCGCCGGGGGGAGUGCUGGCCCUUUGGGCAUGUGCACCCUCCUACCCCUUCAUCCACACACACCUGUGCACUUUUCGAGGCCGAGGACUCCCGUGCCCGGAGCAGGACUUCGGAGGCGGUUUCGAAACCGCCACCGUGGUCCCGAGGACUCGCCUACACUUUUCACAAACUCUUUUGUAUGACCUGGAACGUAGUCGCGGCGCCGCCGCAAAACCUGUACACAACUUUCAACAACGGAUCUCUUGGUUCUCGCAUCGAUGAAGAACGCAGC
rnacentral:misc_RNA from 1 species